rnacentral:lncRNA from 1 species
ACUCAAAUAGUCCUGUGACUCCUCACAAAGACUACCCUGGCCAAGAUUUUGCUAAAUUGAAACACGACUGUACACAGCUCCUAAACUGGAGUGGUCAAUCCCAUCUUGACACACGCACCGAUAAGUCAAGUACUUGACUACACCCAGCAGCCUUCUGUCACUGAAUUAGAAAUUUAGGUAGUCCAGUGCCUAAGUGCAGUGAGUUGCUUGCAAGUCACCGUGGUGGUCUC